ACGAUAAUAGCAAACCCACUGAAAGGUGGCGACGCAAAGCUAUAGGGGCUAAAGUGGCAAAUUAAACCACCAUGCCAGCCAGUUGCCGAA
rnacentral:ncRNA from 1 species